rnacentral:rRNA from 1 species
AGAGUUUGAUCCUGGCUCAGGACGAACGCUGGCGGCGCGCCUAACACAUGCAAGUCGAACGAGCGAGAGAGAGCUUGCUUUCUCGAGCGAGUGGCGAACGGGUGAGUAACGCGUGAGGAACCUGCCUCAAAGAGGGGGACAACAGUUGGAAACGACUGCUAAUACCGCAUAAGCCCACGACCUGGCAUCGGGUAGAGGGAAAAGGAGUGAUCCGCUUUGAGAUGGCCUCGCGUCCGAUUAGCUAGUUGGUGAGGUAACGGCCCACCAAGGCGACGAUCGGUAGCCGGACUGAGAGGUUGAACGGCCACAUUGGGACUGAGACACGGCCCAGACUCCUACGGGAGGCAGCAGUGGGGAAUAUUGCACAAUGGGGGAAACCCUGAUGCAGCGACGCCGCGUGGAGGAAGAAGGUCUUCGGAUUGUAAACUCCUGUUGUUGAGGAAGAUAAUGACGGUACUCAACAAGGAAGUGACGGCUAACUACGUGCCAGCAGCCGCGGUAAAACGUAGGUCACAAGCGUUGUCCGGAAUUACUGGGUGUAAAGGGAGCGCAGGCGGGAAGACAAGUUGGAAGUGAAAUCCAUGGGCUCAACCCAUGAACUGCUUUCAAAACUGUUUUUCUUGAGUAGUGCAGAGGUAGGCGGAAUUCCCGGUGUAGCGGUGGAAUGCGUAGAUAUCGGGAGGAACACCAGUGGCGAAGGCGGCCUACUGGGCACCAACUGACGCUGAGGCUCGAAAGUGUGGGUAGCAAACAGGAUUAGAUACCCUGGUAGUCCACACCGUAAACGAUGAUUACUAGGUGUUGGAGGAUUGACCCCUUCAGUGCCGCAGUUAACACAAUAAGUAAUCCACCUGGGGAGUACGACCGCAAGGUUGAAACUCAAAGGAAUUGACGGGGGCCCGCACAAGCAGUGGAGUAUGUGGUUUAAUUCGA